UCGUACAAGAGAAGGUCUUGGCCUGAUCGAUCUCCAUUUGCCAAGAAUAGGAAGGACUUUCGGAUGGAUCGAGGCGCGAUGGAAGAGGAAGAUGAGGGACACGGAGACGGAGAGGAUCGAGUGAGGGACCUCAGCUCAACCGACCAUCAUCCAUGUGGAUCGGUAGCAAGACCGGCCGAGAGGGAAGAGCGGAGGAGACGCACUUGUUGGGGGCCGGGGGAAUCCUAGCCUAGCCUAGCCUAGGAUAGGACGGAGAUUUUUUUUUUCUGAUCGAUCGAUCUCGCCCCCUCUCCUGCCGCAGCAUCUGAAUCUAUCGCCGGCCACUCGCGUCCUGUGCGACCAUGACGCGCUGACGAUCGACAACCUGCAGCUGUUCGAUCCUUCAGGGAACAAGAACGGCGGCGGCACAUACAUUGUUGCCAGGGCACAAAUUGUCCUGAGGUUCUUCGGAACCCAGAGAUUUAGAUCAGGCACACAAUGUCAGCUUCUGAGUUCAGGAUUCCGUACCAGCAGGUUUCUUCUUCACAGCCUGCUGAGACUGCAAAUCAGUUCAAGACCUGCCGUUGUGGGGAGGGAGACACAUCUGAAACUGGUGACAGCCCGCCAACUUCUUGUCCUAGUUGCCAGAUCCUUAAGAGUGGGCAUUUACUACUUUCAUCAAAAGGAAUUGGAUGGACAUCAUGGAAAAAGCGCUGGUUUGUUCUUACAAGGGCAUCGUUAGUGUUCUUCAGAAGCGACCCUAAUGUGCCCCCUCCAAGAGGAGCUGAACCAAUUGUCACACUUGGUGGAAUCGACUUGAAUAGCUCCGGAAGUGUUGUCGUCAAAGAAGAAAGGAAACUUCUGACAGUAUUAUUUCCUGAUGGCCGUGAUGGACGGACUUUCACUCUGAAGGCCGAAACCAUAGAAGACCUUAAUGAGUGGAGAAGUGCAUUGGAAAAUGCUCUAGCGCAAGCACCAAGUGUAGCAAAUACAACAGGGCAAAAUCCAAUAUUCAGCACUGAUGUAGCGGCAGAACCUGCUGAAGCUCCAGCUGAACAGUCGGAGGACAGUUCUGUUAUUGGCAGACCUGCAGAAUUUGCACUUGUCGAUGCAGAUGGCAGCCCGUCAUUUCUGGAAAAGGCCCUGAAGUUCAUUGAAGAUCAUGGGGUCAAGGUAGAAGGGAUCCUACGCCAGUCUGCUGACGUUGAAGAAGUCAAACGCCGAGUUCGGGAUUAUGAAAAGGGGAAAAACGAAUUCUCCCCAGAAGAGGAUUCACACGUUAUUGGUGACUGUAUUAAGUAUGUUCUUCGAGAGAUGCCAUCAUCUCCAGUUCCUGCAUCAUGUUGCACUGCCCUGGUUAAAGCAUACCGAACUGACAAGACAAGAAGACUUGAUGAGAUAAGUAGAGUGAUAUAUGAAGUUUUCCCAGAACCAAAUCGACAGUUGCUGCAGAGGAUUCUUAAGAUGAUGCAAAUUGUUGGGUCGCACAAAGCUGUGAAUAGGAUGUCUCAAUCUGCUUUGGCGGCUUGCAUGGCACCACUCCUUCUCCGACCUCUUCUUCUUGGUGAAUGUGAAAUCGACAAUGACUUCAGUAUGGGAGGGGAUGGUUCAUUCCAGCUACUUCAAGCUGCUGCAGCUGCAAAUCAUGCACAAGCUAUUGUUAUCAUUAUGAUGGAGCAAUUUGAUCAGAUAUUUGAUGACUUGGAAGAAGGUUCCUGUUCUUCAGACGCUUAUACGGAGUCUGAUGAUGAUGAUGUUGAUAAGGAGUAUUCCACAGAUAAUGACAUCCAUGACGAUGAUGGUUCUUAUGAUUCUGGUGAAGAUGACAUUGAAGAAGACUUGGAUGACAAUAGUGAGCACUACUCUGAUGGCAGUGCACAUGAUAGUAAAACCAACGCUAAUGUCAAGGAUGACAAGGUUAAAAACAAAAUUUCAGAAGCUGCAGUUGCGCAACCGGAUGAUACCUCUCAAAUGAAGAUCAAUAGUCGAUCACACCCGAAACAAGAAACAUGUGGAUCAAAUGAAUCUAAAGAUCACAUGGUAAAAUCAAAUUCUCGUUCAUCAUCUUCCAAAGAAAAAUCUAUGGAGAAAUCAAGCAGCUCAGGACACAAGGGCAAAAGAACCCUAUGGGGCCGUACUUCGGCAAGAAAAGACCUGUCAACGGAGGAUAUUGAAUACUGCGGUGAUGAUGAGACCCUUAUUGAUAAACUUGAGAGCACCAAGACUGAUCUCCAAUCGAAAAUUGCAAAGGAGGCCAAGGAAAAUGCAAUCCUUCAGGCAAGUCUAGAAAGGCGGAAAGAAGAACUACGUGAGCGCCGUUUAGCACUUGAAAAAGAAGUUGAAAAUUUGAGAGACCAGCUACAGAAGGAGAGAAAUUUGAGGACAUCCUUGGAGUCUGGGGUAAUGGAUUUGCGAAGAGGGCAGGUGUCCUUGCCAUCAACAGUAGAUAGCAAGACUAAGGCUGAUCUUGAAGAAGUUGCGACUGCUGAAUCUGAUAUUAUGAACUUGAAGCAAAAGGUCUCUGAUCUUCGUGGGCAAGCCGGCAGCCAGCAGCUGUGCUGUGAAUCAUGCAACAAACGGCUCCUAAGUACAGACAGGAUUUGCGGAACUGAAAGCUCCUCAGUGGAAGCAUCAUCAGCUGUCGGGAAUGAUUAUGCAUCUGACGUGAGUAAAGAAAGCGCAAAGCAUUUCAGGGUGAUAUUGAGCAAUCAAGGAAGCAGACUGCGCAGCAUUCACCUUCUUCAACAGACAAGCAAGGUCAGGAGGUGGUCGGGAGCAUCAGCCAGAGGGCUCCUCAAAGGAUGCACUCGGUUGCCAGGGAGGGCCAAGACGGGUCGUCAUCCGGGUCCAAGUGGAAUUUUGCGCAGAAACAAUAUUCAAACAGUCCACUGAUAUGGGGACUUCACGGAUCCAGUAGUGCUCAUUCGAGUGGCAGGCUAGAGGAAUCUGGUGGAAGCGCACCCGCAACGUCGUUUGCGUUAGCCAAGCUGACAAACCGGCUCAACUUCCUCAAGGAACGGAGGGCGCUGCUGGCAAGCGAGAUGCAGAACCUGGAUUUGGGUCGGCCGCCAGCUGCUGCCACCGCCACCGCCGGCGCUCCAUCAGCCAAGUCCCCAAGCCCAAAAGAGCCUGAGAAGAGGAAAGCUUGAGGAGAGUUGAUGUUGAUCUGUCCCUUUGUGGUGUGCUGAAUAUAGACCAUGCCAAGCUAGUCUAUAUCUGAACUGGUAGUGUAAUUUGCGUGCAGGUCUAUCCGUCCAUCCAUAGUGUUGUCUGUACAAUACAUGUUUCAGCAGAUUUUGUUGCUACAAACUUGCAGGUGCAUGUAGAUAUGCAUUGAACGCGUCUGCAGCUAGGCAGGCUGUUCUGUUGGAUUCAUGAGAAUUGGAAACAAUGCCAGACAGGAUGGCACAUAUUCUGAAGCUCAAAUUGAUUGUCUAGCAGCAUAUUAUAGGUUCACAGUAACACAUAAAUAACAUUACAGGUACAAGAAAGUGCAGAGAUAGAUCCUCUAGGAUAAUGGAAAGUCUGGACAAAGCGCAGAGUUCCCUCAGGUCUCAAGUUCUCCUAGCUAGAUGAUGGUAGAUGAAUAGAUGUAUAUAUAUGCUGCU